rnacentral:rRNA from 1 species
AGCGAACGCGGGCGGCAUGCUUAACACAUGCAAGUCGCACGGUUCGGGGGCAACCUCGGGCAGUGGCGGACGGGUGAGGAACACGUAGGAACGUGUCCUGAGGUGGGGGAUAACGCCGGGAAACUGGCGCUAAUACCGCAUAUGAGCUGAGGCUCAAAGCCGCGAGGCGCCUUGGGAGCGGCCUGCGUCCGAUUAGCUUGUUGGUGGGGUAAUGGCCUACCAAGGCUGCGAUCGGUAGCUGGUCUGAGAGGACGAUCAGCCACACUGGGACUGAGACACGGCCCAGACUCCUACGGGAGGCAGCAGUGGGGAAUAUUGGACAAUGGGCGCAAGCCUGAUCCAGCAAUGCCGCGUGGGUGAAGAAGGUCUUCGGAUUGUAAAGCCCUUUCGGCGGGGACGAUGAUGACGGUACCCGCAGAAGAAGCCCCGGCUAACUUCGUGCCAGCCGCCGCCGUAAAAC